rnacentral:rRNA from 1 species
AACGAACGCUGGCGGCGUGCCUAACACAUGCAAGUCGAACGAAGUGGCGAACGGGUGAGUAAUACGUGGGUAACCUGCCCUCCUUUUUGGGAUAAGCCUUGGAAACGUGGUCUAAUACCCAAUAAAGGGGGAGUGGCUCGGGGCCGAUUGGCGUGUGGGUGGGGUAAUGGCCUACCAAGGCGGGGACGGGUGGCCGGCAUGAGAGGGUGACCGGUCACAUUGGGAAUGAGAUACGGACCAGACUCCUACGUGAGGCAGCAGUGGGGAAUAUUGGACAAUGGGCGAAAGCCUGAUGCAGCCAUGCCGCGUGUGUGAAGAAGGUCUUCGGGUUGUAAAGUACUUUAAGUCGGGAGGCGUUACCGACAGAAGAAGCACCGGCUAACUCCGUGCCAGCAGCCGCGGUAAUAC